rnacentral:sRNA from 1 species
AAAAUCAUGUAACUCCAAACCUUUUCUCCGAUCUUCAUCAUCCAUAAUGUUAAUGAAAGCGGCUAAUGCAUGAAUACAAGGAUAUUUUUGGAUAUCGAACACCUUGCAACUGCAAGUUUUCAAAAUCAAGCUCACCUUAUAAUCU